CGGCAGACGAGGUAGUAACGCGUAGGUACAUACCUAGAAGUCAGGGAUACUCCGGAGAAAUCCGGCAUAAUACUUGAUAGUCCCUAAGGGGUAAAGAUUUAUCGCUUCUAGAGUGGCCUGCGUAGUAUCAGCUUGUUGGUAAGGUAAUGGCUUACCAAGGCUACGACGCUUAGGGGGGGUGAGAGCCCGAUCCCCACCGAUGGGACUGAGACACGGCCCAUACUCC
rnacentral:rRNA from 1 species